rnacentral:rRNA from 1 species
AAGUCGUAACAAGGUCUCCGUUGGUGAACCAGCGGAGGGAUCAUUACCGAGUUUACAACUCCCAAACCCCUGUGAACCAUACCUAUCGUUGCUUCGGCGGGACCGCCCCGGGACUCGCUCCCGGAACCAGGCGCCCGCCGGGGGCACCAAACUCUUGUUUUUUUCAGUAUCUUCUGAGUGGCAUUAUAAAUGAAUCAAAACUUUCAACAACGGAUCUCUUGGUUCUGGCAUCGAUGAAGAACGCAGCGAAAUGCGAUAAGUAAUGUGAAUUGCAGAAUUCAGUGAAUCAUCGAGUCUUUGAACGCACACUGCGCCGCCUUGUACUCUGGCGGGCAUGCCUGUUCGAGCGUCAUUUCACAUCAGCCUGCUGUAUGGGCACCCGACCCGGGCCUCAAAAGUCGUCGGCUGGCAAGCUCUGAUCUCAGCGUCGUGAUUAAUCAAAUUCGCUUUGCAGAGGAGUGAGCCGUGCCGGUUAAAUACUAUCUAAAGGUUGACCUCGGAUCGGGUAGGAAUACCCGCUGAACUUAA